GACGAACGCUGGCGGCGUGCCUAAUACAUGCAAGUUGAGCGCUGAAGGUUGGUACUUGUACCAACUGGAUGAGCAGCGAACGGGUGAGUAACGCGUGGGGAAUCUGCCUUUGAGCGGGGGACAACAUUUGGAAACGAAUGCUAAUGCCGCAUAAAAACUUUAAACACAAGUUUUAAGUUUGAAAGAUGCAAUUGCAUCACUCAAAGAUGAUCCCGCGUUGUAUUAGCUAGUUGGUGAGGUAAAGGCUCACCAAGGCGAUGAUACAUAGCCGACCUGAGAGGGUGAUCGGCCACAUUGGGACUGAGACACGGCCCAAACUCCUACGGGAGGCAGCAGUAGGGAAUCUUCGGCAAGGGACGAAAGUCUGACCGAGAAACGCCGAGUGAGUGAAGAAGGUUUUCGGAUCGUAAAACUCUGUUGGUAGAGAAGAACGUUGGUGAGAGUGGAAAGCUCAUCAAGUGACGGUAACUACCCAGAAAGGGACGGCUAACUACGUG
rnacentral:rRNA from 1 species